AAUGUAUGACGCCGCUGACUUUUUGUUCAACGUUUGACCAUUCGUCUUAUUUAAAAAAAUUAUGUAAUUAUCAUUUAUUUUAUUGUGAUUUGAUUCUUCAUCAAAUGUUCUUUAAGCAUGACAUAAAUAUAUUCAUAUUUGCACAAAAAUUUUGAAUAAAACGAAUGGUCAAAUGUUGGUCGAAAAGUCAGCGGCGUCAUACAUU
rnacentral:pre_miRNA from 1 species